UACGAAGGGGGCUAGCGUUGCUCGGAAUCACUGGGCGUAAAGCGCACGUAGGCGGAUCUUUAAGUCAGGGGUGAAAUCCUGGAGCUCAACUCCAGAACUGCCUUUGAUACUGGGGAUCUCGAGUCCGGGAGAGGUGAGUGGAACUCCGAGUGUAGGGGUGAAAUUCGUAGAUAUUCGGAAGAACACCAGUGGCGAAGGCGGCUCACGGGCCCGGUACUGACGCUGAGGUGCGAAAGCGUGGGGAGCAAACAGG
rnacentral:rRNA from 1 species